AUACGUAGGUCCCGAACGUUGCGCGAAAUUACUGGGCGUAAAGGGUCCGUAGGCGGUCUGGUAAGUGGAAGGUGAAAGCCUGGGGCUCAACUCCAGAAUUGCCUUCCAAACUGCCAGACUUGAGGCAGGGAGAGGUCGGCGGAAUUCCCGGUGUAGUGGUGAAAUGCGUAGAUAUCGGGAGGAACACCAGUGGCGAAGGCGGCCGACUGGAACUGUCCUGACGCUGAGGGACGAAAGCCAGGGGAGCGAACCGGAUUAGAUACCCUAGUAGUCC
rnacentral:rRNA from 1 species